CAUUCAUAUGUUUACAGCUAAAUGAAGUUAGGAAGUAAAUGAGUGUGUGUUUAAAACAGUAUGAAGUGUGUUUGUGAAUGAUUGACAGGGACGAGCUCCUCCCCCGCGAGCCGCUCACGCUAGCGCUAGCAUCGGCAGCAAAGGCUACGUGUGCGGUGGAAGAAUAAAGGAAACUAGAACAAGUGACGAGUUUUUUCUGGAUUUAAAUUCAUGGACAUGGUCAGAAAUAGUUGGGUUGGGUCUAGCACCUGUGGGACGCUCAUGGCACACGCUAACAGCCGUGUCUGAUACGUCUCUUUCUGUUCGGUGGACUCAGACCCAUGAGUGACGGCUGGAUGUUUAAUCUGGAGACAAAAGGAUGGACAGAGAUGGAGCAUCAAAACAAGGACAAACCGCGUCUGUGGCACACUGCGUGUCAAGGAAGAGACUCAAAUGUUGUAGUGUUUUGAGGAAGUCAUGAUUAUAUCCUUUUAGUGGACAAAGGCCACUGCAACGAUGCGCUUGUUUUCCAGACUCAGCCGCAGCCGCUGAUGCGG